rnacentral:tRNA from 1 species
GCAGUCGUGGCCGAGUGGUUAAGGCGAUAGACUAGAAAUCUAUUGGGAUUUUCCCGCACAGGUCCAAAUCCUGUCGACUGCG